GACGAACGCUGGCGGCGUGCUUAACACAUGCAAGUCGAACGGUAAGGCCCUUCGGGGUACACGAGUGGCGAACGGGUGAGUAACACGUGGGUGAUCUGCCCUGCACUUCGGGAUAAGCCUGGGAAACUGGGUCUAAUACCGGAUAGGACUCCGGACUGCAUGGCCUGGGGUGGAAAGCUUUUGCGGUGUGGGAGGGGCCCGCGGCCUAUCAGCUUGUUGGUGGGGUGGUGGCCUACCAAGGCGACGACGGGUAGCCGGCCGGGGAGGGUGACCGGCCGCACUGGGAGUGAGAUACAGUCGAGACGCCUAUGGGGGGCUGCAGUGGGGAAUAUUGCCCAAUGGGCGCAAGCCUGAUGCAGCGACGCCGCGUGAGGGAUGCCGGCGUUCGGGUUGUAAACCUCUUUCAGCAUCGACGAAGCGAAAGUGACGGUAGGUGCAGAAGAAGGACCGGCCAACUACGUGCCAGCCGCCGCCGUAA
rnacentral:rRNA from 1 species